rnacentral:rRNA from 1 species
ACCUACGGGGGGCAGCAGUGGGGAAUAUUGGGCAAUGGGCGCAAGCCUGACCCAGCAACGCCGCGUGAAGGAAGAAGGCUUUCGGGUUGUAAACUUCUUUUAAGAGGGAAGAGAAGAAGACGGUACCUCUUGAAUAAGCCACGGCUAACUACGUGCCAGCAGCCGCGGCAAUACGUAGGGAGCAAGCGUUGUCCGGAAUUACUGGGUGUAAAGGGAGCGUAGGCGGGAUGGCAAGUUGGGUGUUAAAUCUACCGGCUCAACUGGUAGUCGCACUCAAAACUGCUAUUCUUGAGUGAAGUAGAGGG